GCAUUUAGCCAUAUAGAGUCUCAUAUUUUUUUUGUAUGUCGAAUGUCGAAUGUCUCAGAUGACUAUUACGUUAUAAAAUUGUAUAUCAAUGUUACCAAGUUAUCAGAACGCACACAAAUAUACUGAAAACGUUUAUAUGAUAAAUUAUAUUCACAUAACGUAAUAAUAAAAAACUAUCCAAUUAAAAUUACUAAAUUUAUAUGAGGUUAGGUAGCAAACAUCUAAACUACAACAAAAA
rnacentral:sRNA from 1 species